rnacentral:rRNA from 1 species
UACGUAGGGCGCAAGCGUUGUCCGGAAUUAUUGGGCGUAAAGAGCUCGUAGGCGGUUUGUCGCGUCGAAUGUGAAAACCCGGGGCUCAACCCCGGGCCUGCAUUCGAUACGGGCAGACUAGAGUUCGGUAGGGGAGUCUGGAAUUCCUGGUGUAGCGGUGAAAUGCGCAGAUAUCAGGAGGAACACCGGUGGCGAAGGCGGGACUCUGGGCCGAUACUGACGCUGAGGAGCGAAAGCGUGGGGAGCAAACAGG